CACACACAUACAGCAAUAGAAGAGUAGACAAUAACAAUCCAUAUUUUCGAUGGUCUUAGGCGACCCCUGGCAAAUGGUCAAUCGACCCCCAAGGGGGUGGCGACCCACAGGUUGAGAACCCCUGCUCUAACGUGUUGUAACAAGCAUAUGUGUUCUAUAGUCGAAAUACAUUUAUACUUUUAGAUGACGUAGGUUUGGAAAAUCAUUCAGAUUAUAUUAUUACUGGACAAAUUAUGAAACGAUCGUCAAGUAUCAAUAAAAUAAAAAGUGGGAGUAAUACUAAUAGAGAUAGAUCUAAGAACACUGACAAAUAGCCAGGAGAUACGAAUGACACUUAAGUGAAUGUAUCAUCAAUGAAAGUAGACGUGAUUUUUAUUGGUAGUUACUUCUUUCUUUUCACUUUUAUAAUUGUUAUUUGAAAAUAUUUGUUGCGGACCACAUCUUCGUUGUUGCAGUAUACUUUUUCAACAACCGAAAUUACUGUCGAUUAAUUGCAUCGUAACGCCAUUGCGGAAUGAAAUAUUUCUAUGGAGAUGAUCUAAUCAGGUAAAUCACAUUUACCUCAGCCAAUGAACGAAAAAGAUUGUAUGGUUGGGGUCGCCGUCUAGUUUAAAAUUGGAUUAGGGGGUCGAGGAGCUGAAAAGGUUGAGAACCGCUGGUCUAGUCUAUAUAGAAUUAUAGAUCUAGAUUCUAGAUCUAGCUCUUUAUCUCCCAAGCGACGAUAAUAGCGUCGGUCAUUUUUGUAAAAGCCGAUUAAGCGUCAACAUUGUCGUCGGUGCAGUUAAACAUCUUUGUUUCGUUCCUAUUCUUGGUUAAUAAUUUUAGAUGCUUAUAUUCUAAAUCUACGUGAUUUCCGCUUGCAGAAGAGUUCACGGUUUACUUCCUUCAACGUGGGUUUAAUAUUACAGAAAGUCGUCUUUUUUUUUGUUGUUGUUUAUGUUUGGAAAUGGGUCGAUCCUCUAAAACUUGUAGAUCUAAAUUAUAUUCAGAUCAACAUGCAAAUAUUAUAUAAAUAGCAAUGAAUUACUUUUUGAAAGAUAUCAUGUCAGUCAUGUGCAGUGUAAUUAUUUUCUUACUGAAACUUAAUGUUGCAAGUUGUUUGUUUUUUUCUCAUAAAUUUUCUAUGGUGGUGACCUUGGAUAAUGUGCUCCAGUUUUGUACUCCAUGAGUUUUUUAUUGUUUUAGUGGUUCAAUUUCAUGAAAAUAUGAAUAAGGCUAAGGAUUAUAAAACAAUAGCAUUUAAUUCAGUUUGGAAUAGAAAUGAUCUUCUUAUGUGACUUGGAUUAAAUUUUUUGUCGUCCAAUGCAGAUAGACUUACAAUAUCAGGCUUUAAGCACCUAGCUGGAUAAAAGAAGUAACAGAAAUGGGCCUGUCUUUCUAAAAUGAGUUUAGAGAGAAAAUUAUUUUAUCAUCAACUAUAUACCAGCUAGAUCAAACUUUUUUUGUCAUUAGACCAAAGAUGGCCCACAUUUAAUUAUUUAUAAGAAGUAAGAAUGAUUGUCACAUUUUCUUA